rnacentral:rRNA from 1 species
GACGAACGCUGGCGGCGUGCCUAAUACAUGCAAGUUGAGCGCUGAAGGUUGGUACUUGUACCAACUGGAUGAGCAGCGAACGGGUGAGUAACGCGUGGGGAAUCUGCCUUUGAGCGGGGGACAACAUUUGGAAACGAAUGCUAAUACCGCAUAAAAACUUUAAACACAAGUUUUAAGUUUGAAAGAUGCAAUUGCAUCACUCAAAGAUGAUCCCGCGUUGUAUUAGCUAGUUGGUGAGGUAGAGGCUCACCAAGGCGAUGAUACAUAGCCGACCUGAGAGGGUGAUCGGCCACAUUGGGACUGAGACACGGCCCAAACUCCUACGGGAGGCAGCAGUAGGGAAUCUUCGGCAAUGGACGAAAGUCUGACCGAGCAACGCCGCGUGAGUGAAGAAGGUUUUCGGAUCGUAAAACUCUGUUGGUAGAGAAGAACGUUGGUGAGAGUGGAAAGCUCAUCAUGUGACGGUAACUACCCAGAAAGGGACGGCUAACUACGUG